rnacentral:rRNA from 1 species
UGAGGAAUAUUGCGCAAUGGGCGAAAGCCUGACGCAGCGACGCCGCGUGGAGGAUGAAGGUUUUCGGAUUGUAAACUCCUGUUAAGUGGGAAGAAACGACAAAAUAUAAUACAUUUUGUAACUGACGGUACCAUUAAAGAAAGCACCGGCUAACUUCGUGCCAGCAGCCGCGGUAAUACGAGGGGUGCAAGCGUUAUUCGGAAUUAUUGGGCGUAAAGGGUGCGUAGGCGGCGUAUUAAGUCAACUGUUAAAACCUCCAGCCUAACUGGAGAUCAGCAGUAGAUACUGGUAUGCUAGAGGAUGGAAGAGAGAAGUGGAAUUCUUGGAGUAGCGGUGGAAUGCGUAGAUCUCAAGAGGAACACCAAUGGCGAAGGCAGCUUCUUGGUCCAUAUCUGACGCUGAUGCACGAAAGCGUGGGGGAGCAAACAGGAUUAGAUACCCUGGUAGUCCACGCCGUAAACGAUGAUCACUAGAUGUUAAUUCUGCUUGCAGAAUUAGUGUCGUAGCUAACGCGAUAAGUGAUCCGCCU